AAUACCCGCUGAACUUAAGCAUAUCAAUAAGCGGAGGAAAAGAAACCAACAGGGAUUGCCCUAGUAACGGCGAGUGAAGCGGCAACAGCUCAAAUUUGAAAUCUGGCUCUUUUAGAGUCCGAGUUGUAAUUUGCAGAGGGCGCUUUGGCUUUGGCAGCGGUCCAAGUUCCUUGGAACAGGACGUCACAGAGGGUGAGAAUCCCGUACGUGGUCGCUGGCUAUUGCCGUGUAAAGCCCCUUCGACGAGUCGAGUUGUUUGGGAAUGCAGCUCUAAAUGGGAGGUACAUUUCUUCUAAAGCUAAAUAUUGGCCAGAGACCGAUAGCGCACAAGUAGAGUGAUCGAAAGAUGAAAAGCACUUUGGAAAGAGAGUCAAACAGCACGUGAAAUUGUUGAAAGGGAAGCGCUUGCAGCCAGACUUGCUUACAGUUGCUCAUCCGGGUUUCUACCCGGUGCACUCUUCUGUAGGCAGGCCAGCAUCAGUUUGGGCGGUAGGAUAAAGGUCUCUGUCACGUACCUCCUUUCGGGGAGGCCUUAUAGGGGAGACGACAUACUACCAGCCUGGACUGAGGUCCGCGCAUCUGCUAGGAUGCUGGCGUAAUGGCUGUAAGCGGCCCGUCUUGAAACACGGACCAAGGAGUCUAACAUCUAUGCGAGUGUUUGGGUGUCAAGCCCGAGCGCGUAAUGAAAGUGAACGGAGGUGGGAACCCGCAAGGGUGCACCAUCGACCGAUCCUGAUGUCUUCGGAAGGAUUUGAGUAAGAGCAUGGCUGUUGGGACCCGAAAGAUGGUGAACUAUGCUUGAAUAGGGUGAAGCCAGAGGAAACUCUGGUGGAGGCUCGCAGCGGUUCUGACGUGCAAAUCGAUCGUCAAAUUUGGGCAUAGGGGCGAAAGACUAAUCGAACUAUCUAGUAGCUGGUUCCUGCCGA
rnacentral:rRNA from 1 species